UUUUUAAUCUCUCUUUUCAACUUCUCUUACCAAUCUCUUUUCAACUUCUCUCUCACCUAUUUCUCUCUUUCCUACAUCUAUUCUACCAAACACACCCUAAAUGUCUUUGCUGAUUUUAAAGUUAUAAUAAUGCUCCUAGAUAAUGAAAUAAAGAUACCAAAAGAAAAAAGACAACGAAACAAAGAAAGUUUGAGAUCUGUUUAUAUAAGUAAUCUUCAGCUAAAUGAUAGAAUUUUAGGGCAACUAAUCGAAACAAUUUUUACAGACCAACUUUCACCAGCAGCUAUAUACAGAAAGAACAUGACAUGA